GACGAACGCUGGCGGCGUGCUUAACACAUGCAAGUCGAACGGGAUCCGGGCUUUCGGGUUUGGUGAGAGUGGCGAACGGGUGAGUAACACGUGAGUAACCUGCCCCCUUCUUUGGGAUAACGUCGGGAAAUCGGCGCUAAUACUGGAUAUUCUUGCUGCAUCGCAUGGUGUGGUUUGGAAAGGGUUUCUGGUGGGGGAUGGGCUCGCGGCCUAUCAGCUUGUUGGUGGGGUGAUGGCCUACCAAGGCUUUGACGGGUAGCCGGCCUGAGAGGGUGUCCGGCCACACUGGGACUGAGACACGGCCCAGACUCCUACGGGAGGCAGCAGUGGGGAAUAUUGCACAAUGGGCGCAAGCCUGAUGCAGCGACGCCGCGUGAGGGAUGACGGCCUUCGGGUUGUAAACCCCUUUCAGUAUGGAACAAGGAUCCUUCUUUUGGGGGGUUUGAGGGUACGUGCAGAAGAAGCGCCGGCUAACUACGU
rnacentral:rRNA from 1 species